GGAUAACCUGCCCUUAGGUCUGGCAUAACCCCGGGAAACUGGGGAUAAUUCCGGAUAGAUCAUCGAUGCUGGAAUGCGCUUUGAUCCAAAGCUAUUGUGCCUAAGGAUGGGUCUGCGGUCUAUCAGGUUGUAGUGGGUGUAAUGUACCUACUAGCCUACGACGGAUACGGGUUGUGGGAGCAAGAGCCCGGAGAUGGAUUCUGAGACAUGAAUCCAGGCCCUACGGGGCGCAGCAGGCGCGAAAACUUUACAAUGCGGGGAACCGCGAUAAGGGGACACCGAGUGCCAGCAUCCUAUGUUGGCUGUCCAUAUGUCUAAAUCACAUGUGUUAGCAAGGGCCGGGCAAGACCGGUGCCAGCCGCCGCGGUAACACCGGCGGCCCGAGUGGUGGCCACUAUUAUUGGGUCUAAAGGGUCCGUAGCCGGUUUGGUCAGUCUUCCGGGAAAUCUGACGGCUCAACCGUUAGGCUUUCGGGGGAUACUACCAGGCUUGGGACCGGGAGAGGUACGAGGUACUACGGGGGUAGGAGUGAAAUCUUGUAAUCCCUGUGGGACCACCAGUGGCGAAGGCGUCUUACCAGAACGGGUCCGACGGUGAGGGACGAAAGCUGGGGGCACGAACCGGAUUAGAUACCCGGGUAGUCCCAGCUGUAAACUAUGCUCGCUAGGUGUCAGGGACGGUGCGACCGUUUCUGGUGCCGCAGGGAAGCCGUGAAGCGAGCCACCUGGGAAGUACGGUCGCAAGGCUGAAACUUAA
rnacentral:rRNA from 1 species